AGCCUGAACUUUCUCAUCCAACACCCGUUCAAGUCGGAGGAUGCUGAUUAAUUCAUGAUGGAAAGGUAUCAAUUUCACAGCCCAGACCUCUACAUUCUUGAAAUGCUCUUCUCAUGGGAGACAUUAAAUAAGCUUUGAAUUAACUCUCUUCUUGGACUAAAAGGCCCUCAGCAUUCCUGUCAAUUUCUACACUCCUGAAGCUUCAUCUGGAGACCUCUGUGGAUUCUAUAACUCAAAGACCCAGGCUGACGGCUGGUGGAAUAGCUACCAUCUCAAACAUGGCGUGAUGCUGCAUCAGAGAGAAAAAUAAGCUCUUGCAUUGACAAUGAAAUGUCUACCCUGUAGUGACUUGUGCUUACUUCCACUCACAAGUGAUUGCCCAGAGCUACUUACCUGGCUCCAAUCUACCACUGGGUGUGUACUUGCAAUCUACCAUGUACCUAGAAGAUGAGAGAAACAAAUUAUUAAUGAUGACCACACCCCAAUACUAACAACAAUUGCAGAAGAAUCAAUGACUUAAACAAAAAUGUGGCCAUUGAAGGAAUAGAAAAUAUAGUGAGUUUAGUGUAAAUUUAAAAGUGAUUUAUAAGUAACAUACAAAAUCCAGAAACUAUAAGAAAACAGAUUCACAAAUAUAAAUAUAUAAAGCUUUAAAAAAGUUUAAUGUAACAAAAAUGGCAUAAAAGGAGUCAAAAGUUUUUAAAAAAUAUGUUAAUGCAGUAGAUUAGGUGCUAAUUUUCUUAAUAUACUAAUAACUCAAUAAGAGAAAUUUUGU
rnacentral:lncRNA from 1 species